rnacentral:lncRNA from 1 species
GUGUGUAUGUGUGUGUGUGGUAAAUGCCUAAGAGAAAUAGGCUACAUAAAUGCAUUAACUAUGGUAGAGGUUCUGGGCAAGAUAAACGUGGUAAUGGAAAGAAGCUACAGAGGAACAUACGUCAACUAUAGCAUAGGCUACUAGACGAGAUAAAUCAUAAAUACGACCAUAUAGGUUCGCAGUAACUAUGCUGCAGGUUAUCAUGAUAUUUAACUGCUUUUAGAAUUUGGUGGAAUAGUGCAUUUUAAAGGGACAAAAGAGGUAUUUUAUUCGAGUAGGAUGAACUAAACUGG